GACGAACGCUGGCGGCGUGCCUAAUACAUGCAAGUCGAACGCUGAAGGAGGAGCUUUCUCUUCUUGAUGAGUUGCGAACGGGUGAGUAACGCGUAGGUAACCUGCCUGUUAGCGGGGGAUAACUAUUCGAAACGAUAGCUAAUACCGCAUAAGAGUAGAUGUUGCAUGACAUUUGCUUAUAAGGUGCAAUUGCAUCACUACCAGAUGGACCUUCGUUGUAUUAUCUAGUUGGUGGGGGAACGGCUCACCAAGGCGACGAUACAUAGCCGACCUGAGAGGGUGAUCGGCCACACUAGGACUGAGACAAGGCCCAGAAUCCUACGGGAGGCAGCAGUAGGGAAUCUUCGGGAAUGGACGGAAGUCUGACCGAGCAACGCCGCGUGAGUGAAGAAGGUUUUCGGAUCGUAAAGCUCUGUUGUAAGGGAAGAACGAGUGUGAGAGUGGAAAGUUCACACUGUGACGGUAUCUUACCAGAAAGGGACGGCUAACUACGUG
rnacentral:rRNA from 1 species